rnacentral:lncRNA from 1 species
UCUACCCUCUUGUAUCAAUACACAACCGAUCUCAACUCUCGAAGCAUCAUAAUAUAGCGUGUCAGAACCUAAAGUUGGUGGCAAUACUAGUACCAGAGAUGUGGUUACAGCCGACCUGAGCUUUUGGAAGCUCUCCUUGCAUUCAUCCGACCACACAAAUGGAGCAUUCUUCUACGUCACCUUCGUCAAGGGCGAAACAAUAGAUGAAAA